rnacentral:rRNA from 1 species
UAGGGAAUCUUCGGCAAUGGACGAAAGUCUGACCGAGCAACGCCGCGUGAGUGAAGAAGGUUCUCGGAUCGUAAAACUCUGUUGGUAGAGAAGAACGUUGGUGAGAGUGGAAAGCUCAUCAAGUGACGGUAACUACCCAGAAAGGGACGGCUAACUACGUGCCAA